GUGACCUCAAAUCAGGUAGGACUACCCGCUGAACUUAAGCAUAUCAAUAAGCGGAGGAAAAGAAACUAACAAGGAUUCCCCUAGUAACUGCGAGUGAAGCGGGAAAAGCUCAAAUUUAAAAUCUGGCAGUNUUACUGUCCGAGUUGUAAUCUAGAGAAGCAUUAUCCGCGUUGGACCGUGUACAAGUCUCCUGGAAUGGAGCGUCAUAGAGGGUGAGAAUCCCGUCUUUGACACGGACUGCCAAGGCUUUUGUGAUGUGCUCUCAAAGAGUCGAGUUGUUUGGGAAUGCAGCUCAAAAUGGGUGGUAAAUUCCAUCUAAAGCUAAAUAUUGGCGAGAGACCGAUAGCGAACAAGUACCGUGAGGGAAAGAUGAAAAGAACUUUGGAAAGAGAGUUAAACAGUACGUGAAAUUGCUGAAAGGGAAACGCUUGAAGUCAGUCGCGUUGAUCAGAGAUCAACCUUGCUUUUGCUUGGUGUACUUUCUGGUUUGACGGGUCAGCAUCAAUUUUGAUCAUUGGAAAAAGGUCAAGGGAAUGUGGCAUCUUCGGAUGUGUUUAUAGCCCUUGGUUGUAUGCAAUGGUUGGGAUUGAGGAACUCAGCACGCCGCAAGGCCGGGUUUUAACCACGUACGUGCUAGGAUG
rnacentral:rRNA from 2 species